GUAACAAGACUACUUCCGGUCACUGCUUCAAAAUAAAGAGUCGCUGUUUUGGUUUUGGUUCUCUCACCCCCAGCAGAUUCCUGGGCACGUAUCCCUCGCGGUCAUUCAGGCGCGCCCACCACCACUCUGUCUCAGUGUCGUCAUGGCGACGCACCACAGUGAUAGCAUCACCUUCGCUGAAGGAGAGCUCAUCAGACUGCUGGGCUGUGUAGUCCCACAGGGCAUAGACUAAACCUUUGUUCAUCACACCCAA